rnacentral:rRNA from 1 species
GACGAACGCUGGCGGCGUGCCUAAUACAUGCAAGUUGAGCGCUGAAGGUUGGUACUUGUACCAACUGGGUGAGCAGCGAACGGGUGAGUAACGCGUGGGGAAUCUGCCUUUGAGCGGGGGACAACAUUGGGAAACGAAUGCUAAUACCGCAUAAAAACUUGAAACACAAGGGUGAAGUGUGAAAGAUGCAAUUGCAUCACUCAAAGAUGAUCCCGCGUUGUAUUAGCUAGUUGGUGAGGUAAAGGCUCACCAAGGCGAGGAUACAUAGCCGACCUGAGAGGGUGAUCGCCCGCCUUGGGACUGAGACACGGCCCAAACUCCUACGGGAGGCCGCAGUAGGGAAUCUUCGGCAAUGGACGAAAGUCUGACCGAGCAACGCCGCGUGAGUGAAGACGGUUUUCGGAUCGUAAAACUCUGUUGGUAGAGAAGAACGUUGGUGAGCGUGGAAAGCUCAUCAAGUGCCGGUAUCUGCCCAGAAAGGGACGCCUACCUCCGU